UAGCGGGGCGUGGUUUCAAUCCACGGACCUUUGGGUUAGGGGCCCAGUAUGCUUCCACAGCACCACCCUGCU